GACGAACGCUGGCGGCGUGCUUAACACAUGCAAGUCGAACGGAAAGGCCCUGCUUUUGUGGGGUGCUCGAGUGGCGAACGGGUGAGUAACACGUGAGUAACCUGCCCUUGACUUUGGGAUAACUUCAGGAAACUGGGGCUAAUACCGGAUAGGAGCUCCUGCUGCAUGGUGGGGGUUGGAAAGUUUCGGCGGUUGGGGAUGGACUGGCGGCUUAUCAGCUUGUUGGUGGGGUAGUGGCUUACCAAGGCUUUGACGGGUAGCCGGCCGGAGAGGGUGACCGGCCACAUUGGGACUGAGAUACGGACCAGACUCCUACGGGAGGCAGCAGUGGGGAAUAUUGCACAAUGGGCGGAAGCCGGAUGCAGCAACGCCGCGUGCGGGAUGACGGCCUUCGGGUUGUAAACCGCUUUCGCCUGUGACGAAGCGUGAGUGACGGUAAUGGGUAAAGAAGCACCGGCUAACUACGUG
rnacentral:rRNA from 1 species